AGUUUGAUCCUGGCUCAGGAUGAACGCUGGCGAGAUGCCUUAUACAUGCAAGUCGUACGAGAUUAAACUCAAGUGGCGGACGGGUGAGUAACACGUAAGAAUUUGCCUUUAGGAGGGGGACAACAACUGGAAACGGUUGCUAAUACCCCAUAUGCUUUCGAGUGAAAUGAAUUAUUUCGCCUAAAGAGAAGCUUGCGGCUGAUUAGCUUGUUGGUAAGGUAAUGGCUUACCAAGGCGACGAUCAGUAUCUGGUUUGAGAGGACGAUCAGACACACUGGAACUGAGACACGGUCCAGACUCCUACGGGAGGCAGCAGUAGGGAAUUUUCCGCAAUGAGCGAAAGCUUGACGGAGCAAUCUCGCGUGAGGGAUGACGGCCUAUGGGUUGUAAACCUCUUUUUUCAGGGAGGAAUAAAUGACGUGUACCUGAAGNAUAAGCAUAAGCG
rnacentral:rRNA from 1 species